GACGUAGGCACCAAGCGUUUGUCCGGAUUUAUUGGGCGUAAAGAGCUCGUAGGCGGUUCAGUAAGUCGGGUGUGAAAACUCUGGGCUCAACCCAGAGACGCCACCCGAUACUGCUGUGACUUGAGUACGGUAGGGGAGUGGGGGAAUUCCUGGUGUAGCGGUGAAAUGCGCAGAUAUCAGGAGGAACACCAGUGGCGAAGGCGCCACUCUGGGGCCGUAACUGACGCUGAGGAGCGAAAAGCGUGGGUAGCAAACAGG
rnacentral:rRNA from 1 species